rnacentral:rRNA from 1 species
GACGCUGGCGGUAGGCUUAACACAUGCAAGUCGUGCGAGAAAGUAUCUUCGGAUAUGAGUAGAGCGGCGGACGGGUGAGUAACGCGUAGGAAUCUACCUAGUAGAAGGGGAUAGCCCGGGGAAACCCGGAUUAAUACCGUAUACCUCCUUCGGGAGAAAGAAGGCCUCUCUUUGAAGCUUUCGCUACUAGAUGAGCCUGCGUAAGAUUAGCUUGUUGGUGAGGUAAAGGCUCACCAAGGCUACGAUCUUUAGCUGGUCUGAGAGGACGAUCAGCCACAUUGGGACUGAGACACGGCCCAGACUCCUACGGGAGGCAGCAGUGGGGAAUAUUGGACAAUGGGCGCAAGCCUGAUCCAGCCAUACCGCGUGUGUGAAGAAGGCCUUCGGGUUGUAAAGCACUUUAAGCAGGGAGAAAAAGUUAUAAGCUAAUACCUUAUGACCUUGAUGUUACCUGCAGAAUAAGCACCGGCUAAUUCCGUGCCAGCAGCCGCGGUAAUACGGAAGGUGCAAGCGUUAAUCGGAAUUACUGGGCGUAAAGCGCGCGUAGGUGGUUUGUUAAGUUGGAUGUGAAAGCCCUGGGCUCAACCUAGGAACUGCAUCCAAAACUAACUCACUAGAGUACGAUAGAGGGAGGUAGAAUUCAUAGUGUAGCGGUGGAAUGCGUAGAUAUUAUGAAGAAUACCAGUGGCGAAGGCGGCCUCCUGGAUCUGUACUGACACUGAGGUGCGAAAGCGUGGGUAGCGAACAGGAUUAGAUACCCUGGUAGUCCACGCCGUAAACGAUGACAACUAGCUGUUGGGAGACUACGUCUUUCAGUGGCGCAGCUAACGCUUUAAGUUGUCCGCCUGGGGAGUACGGCCGCAAGGCUAAAACUCAAAUGAAUU